UGUCAUAUUAUAUUCCUAAAUCAACCAAUAGUCUAAUUUUAGAAUAUAUGAUCUUCUCCCAAAAUUUUCUCUCGUCUCUAGCCAAAACUAUCGGAGAUUAUCUUAAUAUGAAAGUGAACAAAAAGGAAACUAGAAUUCCCCAAGAAAAAAAAGAAGUUUGGCAAACUUCAAGCCCCCCAAAUUUCCCCCCCAUAUUUGCAUCGACCCAUCCAUUUCCUUCAGCUUAACUGGGUCGAUCAAAUUGAAAACUCUUUGUUUUCCCCUCAUUUUCCUCUUAAACAAAAACAUUCAUAUUAAAACUUUGAGUGCCAUAGUUUUAUGGACAUACCUUAUUAGCAUAUGGGGUGCAUAUCUUCGAAGCGGGCGGUGUCGGCCUCGCCUGCUGUCGACGAUUUGGAGGGGAUUAUUCGUCUUAAAAGGUCGACGACAAAUAAUAAUCAACGUCAAGGUGGUCCUUGUCCAUCCAGCACAACAACAAAUGGAAACAACCAAAGCCAAACUUAUGCGGAAACACAAUUGUUACCUGUAAGGAGAUUAUCAUCUGAGGAAGGAGAUUCGGUGGGAUUCGAUGACGAUCUUAUUAAUGAGAAAAGUGGUAAAAAGUUGAAGGGAGCAAAGAGUAAAACUUCUAAUUCUACUUUCUCGUUAAACUUACGUUUUGGAUCAUCCAACAAGAGUCAGGUUGUUGCUGAGCAAACUGCCGCGGGUUGGCCUACUUGGCUGACUGCUGUUGCUGGAGAAGCUAUUCAUGGUUGGGUUCCUCUUCGUGCGGAUGGUUUUCAGAAAUUAGAUAAGAUUGGACAAGGUACAUACAGUAGUGUGUUUAGAGCACGUGAACAUGCUACAGGAAGAAUUGUGGCUCUAAAGAAGGUGAGAUUCGACAAUUAUCACCCAGAGAGCGUCCGAUUUAUGGCAAGAGAAAUAACAAUUCUCCGCAAGCUUGACCAUCCAAAUAUAAUAAAGCUACAUGGUUUGAUUACAUCAAAAGCUUCUUGCAGCUUAUACCUUGUUUUUGAAUAUAUGGAGCAUGAUCUUUCUGGUCUCCUCUCUUGUCCUGAAGUCACCUUCACCGAGGCUCAGAUAAAGUGCUUCAUGCAACAAAUCUUUUACGGGUUAGAUUAUUGUCAUGGAAAAGGUGUACUGCAUCGAGAUAUAAAGACCUCAAAUAUAUUACUAAACAAUGAGGGGGUAUUAAAAUUGGCUGAUUUCGGAUUGGCAAACUUCAUGAGCACAAGGACCAAGCAACAACCUCUUACCAGUCGUGUAGUAACAUUAUGGUAUCGACCUCCAGAACUAUUACUUGGAUCAACAAAUUAUGGACCGUAUGUUGAUAUGUGGAGUGCGGGUUGUGUUUUUGCUGAAUUGCUCAUUGGCAAGCCUAUUCUCAAGGGUAAAACCGAGGUUGAGCAAUUGCACAAAAUCUUCAAGCUUUCUGGAUCACCGCCAGAUGAGUACUGGAACAAGUCAAAGCUGCCUCAUUCUAGCAUGUUUAAACCUCAAGCUCCAUACGAAAGUUCACUGCGAGAAAGGUUUAAAACUUUUCCGGAGCAUAUUGUCACUUUAUUAGAGAACCUCUUAUCAGUUGAUCCAAAGAAUCGUGGGACUGCUGCCUCUGCCUUAAAUUCUCAGCUUUUCAACACAAUGCCUUAUGCAUGUGACCCAUCAAGCUUGCCGACGUAUCCACCUAAUAAGGAGAUCGAUGCAAAAUCUCGCGAAGAGUCACGAAGGAGAAAGACUAACAGAAUUCAAGAUUCCACAUCAUCAUCAAGAAUGCAUAGAAGGGGUCGAAAAGGAUUGCCAGAGCCUAGUAGCGUUAGCAUGUUAGGAAGACCUGGACAAGAGGAAACUCAAAUGAAUAGAAAAUAUGCUAGAAGAAAUGGUACAAAUGCACUAGUUACUCAGACAAAAAAGGGUGAUGAUGAGAUAUCAAUAGAUAUGAAGUCAGAUGUUUCUCAAGUAACAAAUGCAUCCCAAGGUGACAUCAUGUUUGCAGGCAACGGAAAACCAGCACCAGCUUUUACUUUGCCUAAAAAGAGAGUUGCUAGUGAUGCUACAAUCUCUUCUUCCAAAAAUCUAAAUACUGACCCUUCUAGUGUAUUAUGUGCAAAUAAGAUGUUAGAUCCACAUCCAGAAGAGUAUGAAGAUGUCCAGGCUAAUUCUAGAGAUGAUGAUUCAACCAACAUCAAAGAUUAAUAAUCACGAAGACCUUUCUAUAAUCAACAAUUGCUGAAGGUAUAAGCAUAGGAUUGUCACAACUCUCAAGCCAUUUCCAUCGUAAUGGCAAUGAAGAGAUUUGGAAAAGUUGGAUAAUAGCCUUUAUAAGAGUCGAGGAUUAGAAAAAUUGGCUUAAGCCAUACUUUAAGCAGCAUACCACCCUUCAUAAUUAUUUAUGAUUUUUGGAUCGGAUUUUCAGCAUUGUGGGAUCUACUGGAGAAUUUAGUGGGUUUUCUUAAUUUUAGUUUUUUCCAUUGUUUUUGCAAAAUGUAAAUUGUGAAAGCAAAGGGAAAGUGAUAAAAGAUUGUGUAUAAAGUUUAUCUUUGAGAAUGUGCUUAUUGUUACAUAAUAUUAAUUAGAUUGUAA